GCCUGGGGCUGGCGAGCUCCCCCGCCGCGCCGGGGCUUGGCGCUCCCCGGGGGCCGCCACCUGUCCGGCCCGGGCGCGGGGCGGCCGCUUCGCCCCCAGCUCUCGGAGGCGGCAGCGACAGGCAGGGGCAGGCACACGUGCGCCCGGCGGGCAGGCUCAGGCUUCUGCGGAGACGCGCCCGGCCAGCGCACCCCCCGAGCGCACUCGUGCGCGCGCGCACAGAAGCCCACGGGCGCAAAGUCACCCCUGCCCGGCGCGCACAGGAGCGCCCAGGCACAGAGCCAAGUAAGCAGGACGCUCAGCGCUCACGUGGAGGCAGGCAGAGAGCCACAGACUCGGACGUCCCCCUCCAGUGUUGCUCUCGGAUUUCUAGAAUGUACUGUUAUGGCCACAGAGUUCUUCCUCAUGACUACCCUUCUCUGGUGAAGAAGCUGAAAUACAAUUUAACCAAACGAAUGUUGGAGCUCAACAGGGGAUCUAUAGAAAUCAGAAAACUUCACUUCAACUACCACCACCAUAUCCCAUCAAGACACUCUAAAACCAACCAGAUGGCUUCCCUGAGCCUCAGUUUCCUCAUCUGUGAAGUGGAGAAGUAGCAACACCUUUCCUACAGACCUAGGAUGGAGGGAGAAAAUAGAUGGGAAACAGUGAAAUGCUAGAUUACGUAUAAGAGUAAUUAUAAACAAGAAGAAAAAUGUCAAUAAAAAUUAUAUUUUAAAUUUGUCUUCUUUUUAA
rnacentral:lncRNA from 1 species